GAUGAACGCUAGCGGCAGGCCUAACACAUGCAAGUCGAGGGGGAAGUUACUUUCGGGUGACUGAGACCGGCGUACGGGUGCGUAACGCGUAUACAAUCUGCCUUUCACUGGGGGAUAGCCCGAAGAAAUUUGGAUUAAUACCCCAUAGUAUAUAGGGACGGCAUCAUUUUUAUAUUAAAGCUUAGGUGGUGAAAGAUGAGUAUGCGUUCUAUUAGCUAGUUGGAGAGGUAACGGCUCCCCAAGGCGAUGAUAGAUAGGGGUUCUGAGAGGGAUGUCCCCCACACUGGUACUGAGAUACGGACCAGACUCCUACGGGAGGCAGCAGUGAGGAAUAUUGGACAAUGGUCGGAAGACUGAUCCAGCCAUGCCGCGUGCAGGAUGAAGGUCUUAUGGAUUGUAAACUGCUUUUGUAAGGGAAGAAUAAGGGCUACGCGUAGUUUGAUGACGGUACCUUACGAAUAAGCAUCGGCUAACUCCGUG
rnacentral:rRNA from 1 species